AAAAGUGACACAGCAGUUCUUGUUAUCUGUUGGCUGUCACUCAUUAGUGUUGGCAUUUCACACCGAGGAUCCUCCGAGGUCCACAUGGGUUACAUUUUGUGUUUGUCAUUACAUUUGUGUUUGUCACGUGUACAACGUGGUUUUACAGCCGGCAGGUGUGCUUACAAGGUGUGGCUGCCUUAAUGGGUCAAUCCAUGACACAAAUAAAUUAUCAACUUGAAUAAGGUCAUCGCCUCUCUUUAAGUGCUGUUUCUCCAUAGUUGUGCCAGACUACAACUUGAACCUCGACGUCUACAUAGACGAAGAGGCAGACCGUGAGAGCCCUGCUCACGACUCUAUCAUGUACGCCUUUCAAAGCAUAUUUAGAUACUUUCGUGGAUACUGGUCACAAGGCACACCACAGGAUGAAAAAGAACAACUGGAGGAGGAAACUUUCUAUGACACACCGAGGAUCUCUUGAAGAUGAGUCUGAUGAAG